rnacentral:rRNA from 1 species
UACGGAGGGGGCUAGCGUUGUUCGGAAUUACUGGGCGUAAAGCGCACGUAGGCGGCUUUGUAAGUUAGAGGUGAAAGCCCAGGGCUUAACCCUGGAAUUGCCUUUAAGACUGCAUCGCUAGAAUUGUGGAGAGGUAAGUGGAAUUCCGAGUGUAGAGGUGAAAUUCGUAGAUAUUCGGAAGAACACCAGUGGCGAAGGCGGCUCACUGGACUGGUAUUGACGCUGAGGUGCGAAAGCGUGGGGAGCAAACAGG